rnacentral:rRNA from 1 species
UACGAGGGGGGCAAGCGUUGUUCGGAAUUAUUGGGCGUAAAGGGUGCGUAGGCGGUUUGGUAAGCCAGAUGUGAAAUCCCCGGGCUCAACCUGGGAAUGGCAUUUGGGACUGCAAGGCUGGAGUGCGGCAGAGGAGACUGGAAUUCCUGGUGUAGCAGUGAAAUGCGUAGAUAUCAGGAGGAAUACCGAUGGCGAAGGCAGGUCUCUGGGCUGACACUGACGCUCAUGCACGAAAGCGUGGGGAGCAAACAGG